GAUCAUUACUGAUUUGCUUAAUUGCACCACAUGUGUUUUUUAUUGAACAAAUUUCUUUGGUGGCGGGAGCAAUCCUACCGCCAGAGGUUAUAACUAAACCAAACUUUUUAUUUACAGUCAAACUUGAUUUAUUAUUACAAUAGUCAAAACUUUCAACAACGGAUCUCUUGGUUCUCGCAUCGAUGAAGAACGCAGCGAAAUGCGAUACGUAAUAUGAAUUGCAGAUAUUCGUGAAUCAUCGAAUCUUUGAACGCACAUUGCGCCCUUUGGUAUUCCAAAGGGCAUGCCUGUUUGAGCGUCAUUUCUCCCUCAAACCCCCGGGUUUGGUGUUGAGCAAUACGCUAGGUUUGUUUGAAAGAAUUUA
rnacentral:misc_RNA from 1 species